GUGAUGGUUAUGGCAUAUUGAGCAAAUUAGUCGACUGUAUAUCGAUAGUAGGCACGACCAUUAGUUGAUGAUUUUGCUGUAUUGUCGAUCACCGACCAUAAGUCGAUGACAUCUGUUCAAUCGAUUGAUGAAGAGUCGAAGUCGUCAGUUCGGUCGAUGUUCUGUCGAAGUUGUGCAUUCGGUCAGUCAGCUAUAUUCGGAUCGGAGUUGAUG
rnacentral:lncRNA from 1 species